UUCCGGUUGAUCCUGCCGGACCUGACUGCUAUCGGAUUGAUACUAAGCCAUGCGAGUCAUUGUAGCAAUACAAGGCAUACGGCUCAGUAACGCGUAGUCAACCUAACCUAUGGACGGGAAUAACCUCGGGAAACUGAGAAUAAUGCCCGAUAGAACAUUAUGCCUGGAAUGGUUUAUGUUUCAAAUGAUUUAUCGCCAUAGGAUGGGACUGCGGCCUAUCAGUUUGUUGGUGAGGUAAUGGCCCACCAAGACUAUUACAGGUACGGGCUCUGAGAGGAGUAGCCCGGAGAUGGGUACUGAGACACGGACCCAGGCCCUAUGGGGCGCAGCAGGCGAGAAAACUUUGCAAUGUGCGAAAGCACGACAAGGUUAAUCCGAGUGGUUUCUGCUAAAGAAACCUUUUGUCAGUCCUAGAAACACUAACGAAUAAGGGGUGGGCAAGUUCUGGUGUCAGCCGCCGCGGUAAAACCAGCACCUCAAGUGGUCAGGAUGAUUAUUGGGCCUAAAGCAUCCGUAGCUCGUUUUGUAAGUUUUCGGUUAAAUCCAUACGCUUAACGUAUGGGCUGCCGGGAAUACUGCAUAACUAGGAAGUGGGAGAGGUAGACGGUACUCGGUAGGAAGGGGUAAAAUCCUUUGAUCUAUUGAUGACCACCUGUGGCGAAGGCGGUCUACCAGAACACG
rnacentral:rRNA from 1 species